UACGUAGGGGGCAAGCGUUGUCCGGAUUUAUUGGGCGUAAAGAGCGUGUAGGCGGCUUGGUAGGUCCGCUGUGAAAACUCGAGGCUCAACCUCGAGAUGUCAGCGGAAACCACUUGGCUAGAGUCCGGAAGAGGAGAGUGGAAUUCCUGGUGUAGCGGUGAAAUGCGCAGAUAUCAGGAAGAACACCUAUGGCGAAGGCAGCUCUCUGGGACGGUACUGACGCUGAGACGCGAAAGCGUGGGGAGCGAACAGG
rnacentral:rRNA from 1 species